UACAGGAUGAGGUGGCCGAGUGGUUUAGGCGAUGGACUGCUAAUCCAUUGUGCUCUGCAUGCAUGGGUUCGAAUCCCAUCAUUGUGUAA